AAAAAAAAAAAACACUUUAAAAAACCCAAGCUAUUAGUUUUAUGAUACCUCAGCAACUGGAACUGUAAUAAUCUUGCUCUCCUGUCACUGACUGUGUAACAUUCAUAAUAUCUAUUAACAUUUUCUUGUAGCAGGAGAAUAAGAGUCCUUUGAACCAAGUGCGAACUGAUCCUAGCUCCACAGUUUGCAUAGACCUCCACUGAGAUAAAGGGGUGAGUAUCACUGGUCAUGGUUGCAAACAGAUGAAAAGUUAGUAACACUUUGCCAUUGUCUAUCCAUUAUUUAAAGAAUGGAGAAUGAUGAAGACAAGAGUAGGUAGAGGUAAAAAGGCAAAUGCUGUAACUUAAACAUGAAAAAAGGCCUCAAAAUGAAGGACAGACAGCCUCAGGCUGAAGUACUGUCAAAGUGAAUAUAGAGUUAAUUAUUUCUCUGUUAGCCUUUUCCUGCUUUGCUCAGGAAAUGUGGAUGUAGUAAUGACUGAAAAAUUCAGCAUCCUGAGACAAACAUGAUCUUUUGCCAAUUACUUUAUGGACAAGAUAGGGGAAUGAUGAGAAGGAAAGUGAACUCUUUAUGGACAAAAGGGCUUGAAUCCAGCUUCAGUGUUUCAAGCUCUACUUGGUUCUGUAGUCCUGUAGAAGCAGUGCUCUUUAGAGAGGAAAGAAUUUCAUGUGUACCAUAGGUGCAGUAACCCUUCCAUAUAAGAAACAUAAAUAGCUUGUAAGCAGCUAUUCAAACCCUGGCUAUCCAGUUUCUCCUAUCUCUGGCCUUAGCUGAUACAGUGGUGACAAGAGAAGUAAAGGACUAUUCUUUAAAGCUUUGACUACAGCUGGCUAACUAAUUAGGGUACAGUAACUCCAGAAAGGAGGAGAUUUAUUAGGUGUUUUCCAACUUCUUGGGUGAGUAGCUAGUGGUUAUUAGAGCAGCAAUACAGAAAGUAACUUGGCCCAACCUAGUUGUUAAACAAAAGUAGCUGUGAUGUUCUGAAUACAAAGUGUUUGGAAAUACUUAAAACUUUAAAAGUUAAGAUUCACAACUUAUCACCUAAAUACCGAACAACUCAGUGAACAGUUGUUAUAGGUGUGCUGUGGGGCUGGAGCAGUAAAAGGACUAUUGCUUAAGUACACACACCUGAAAACAAAAGACUUAAGUGAGCAGCAGCCAAGAAGUAAAGCUGUUGGGAACCACAGUUCAGCACCUUCAUUUUGCUUUGGUAAAUAAGCAGGAGCCAGGGAGAAGAAAGAAUAGUUAACAAAAUGGUUUGAUUUUCUAAAGCUAAUACUGACAUUAUUUGGAAGGUGCCUGAAGUAGAAUAGUCUUUUCAUUGGAGUAAAAUAAGAAAUGUAAAUACAGAGGAAUCAUGAAGCAUAGCUAUGUAUGAUGAAGAAGAGCUACAUAUGACAUACUGUGCAGUAUGCAGUCUGUGGCUCUCGGUUGGGUACUCUGCAGUUGCAUACUAUUGAGCAUUAGGGUUACUGUAUACCACUCCAGUUAUUUCAUACCAAUACAAUGGUUGUUGCUUCAUACCAUCUUUACCUUAUGCUAGAAGUGUCAGGUAAAGUACUGAGUACUACUCUUAAAUGAAAUUCAUUACAAUUUAGCUUUAUUUGAGGAACUAAGUGAUGGAUGUAAACAGCACAAUAUAGUAUAGGGGUGAAGGUUUCUUAAAGAUAUACAGGGACUUUGUAUUGCUCCCAGUCAUUUGAGCCACUCAAAAGAGAAACAUCAAUAAACCACCUUUUAUUUAACUUAGCUAUAAAUAUCUUAGAUUUUAAUAUUUGCUCAUGAAAAAUCUCUUCAGCAAUAAAAAGUUCAACAUAAAGAUAAAUAUAGAAAGAUAUAGCAACAUUUAUUUCCCUGUGGGGCACAAGGUAUAACAGGAGUUCAAAACUGAUAAAAAUGUAUUAAAUCAGCAUUAGUUUUCAUCUUUUUAAAGACUUAAACAGCUUAAUUUAAGAACAUUAAGCCAGUGUAAGAAAAUCCUCAUGUUAAUAACUGCAUCCAAAUAUAGAACAGAUCUCAAAACUCAGAACUUAAUAUUUUGGUAAGGUAACAGAUGCAGACAAAAAAACCAGCACUGAGUGAUCUGCAACAUCAGCUGCUUCUACUCUUAAAGAGAAGAGGACCUGCAAGGCUCACUGAGGUUCUUACUUUGCCAUAUAAAACCAUCAGGUAAGCAUUUUGGUAAACAGAGGCUGAAAGAAGGGAUUAUGAAGGCUGACUACAUGGUAUCUAAGGGCUAGGAGUCAGCCUUCAGAUAGCUAUAAAGCUAUUAAAUACUGGCCAACAGAUAGUACUCCACACCCACUUCCCAGCUAGACAUACAAAGCAGGACUGCAGACUGCCCUUGUGUCAGACCUUCAGUACAUAGGGACUCUAAGAGCUAGUAUUUUUAAUGCACCUUUGUCAUUUUGAUUUUUAUCAGUGUUUUAUACCUAGCCACUUAAAAGGCUGGCUUUUUGGGACCAAAGUGCUAAUAUUGUUAGUUACAGUACCUUCUGUUGGAAUGUUUCACAUUUGCAGGAUAUAUCUGUCCAUGUUGUGGUUCCAGCAAAUCAAAACUAAAAGCUAUGCUGCAUCUAGAAAUAUCAAAUACUGCAGUUGGUAAUUUCUAUGUACUAAAGAAACAGUAUAUUUAAGAAACAAGAGGAAUACAUCACAGCUUGAUUUUACUUGAAAAAUUUUGUUACUCUAGGAAGUUCUUCAGCAAGUGAUCUAGACAUUUCAGCAUCAGGAUGAAACCAUUUCAGAUAGUCAGCACUCUUCAGGAUAAUGAACUUCAUCCAAGUUCAGAAUUGCUGAACAUCCAAGCUGUGACAUGAUCUGGCACAUGUUACCCACUGUGACUUGAAACAGAAAUUACCUUUGGAGAAACACUGUACCAUAAUAUUGAGAAAGCUGAGACAGCCUAUGCUCAGCCUCAAUUAUUUAUCAUCCUUCUAGGACACACAUCUAACAGCUUUGUUAACUGUGCACACUCCUGUUUCAGCAGGUCACGGAAAUCAAAUCCUUGGGACAGAGUGAAAGAACUUCCUACAGAGCUUGUAUUCUACUGAUCUUUGUAUCAGUGAAUCCAGCACAGGGUACAGUAUCAGAAGGCAGGAGGCGUUAUGUCAUGGACAGUGUUUCUCACAAAUAUGGUAGAUGGGAGAUUUAAAUUCCAAGUUACUUUCAGAUAUUGUGGAAGGUACCACCACAGACUUGAGUCCAAAAUGUCACUUGAGGUUUAGGAGUGUUUUCAGGUGAUCGUCUCCAUGUCCAUAUUACAUGAUAGAACAGCUGGGAUCUUCAUUUUGCUGAGAUGGAAGCUCUGCUUCACUUCCCAUUAGUUCUUCAUACUCAUCAUCUUGCUCACCACUUUCUUCUCCUCUGGGUACAUGCAUUAAUUUUCUCUCUGCCAGUUCCUACAAUACAAUUAAGUCACCAUCAAGAAAGCUCAAGCAUCAAGCACAUCAAGGAAUUUUAGUAAAAGGACAGAAGCUGCAACUCACUUACCUCACCUUCAUCUGUGAUGAGUGUAACACCAAUGUUAAACCCAGAUCCCCAAGAUUUCUGAGACUUCCAGACCAGGUCACUAGGACCUGGGCUUACACCAGCAGCUGCACCCCAGAUCUGCAAAAAAUUUGAAGUGAGCCAGUGUUGAUUCUUCUUAUCUGUAGUUACAUGAGAGCUCAUCCUAACACAUACAAUUCCAAGUACUCUAAUGCCAAAGACACUCAGUAACAAACUCAGCAACUCUCAUUCCUGGCAGGCUAGUGUGUCUGUUCAAAAAGAUUCAAGAAUACUAAGUGUUACAGAACUACCUACCGUAACUACUUGGCCUGCCUGAAGAGUGAACUGUGAGGGGAAUUUGUAUGCUACAUCUGACACGCUCUCAAGAUGUCUUCUCAGCACCCAUCCAUGUAGUGGCUGAUCCUGCAGGGUAAGAAAUUUCUCAGCAUUACAAAUGAACACUAUAGCACUCAUACAAGUGCAAGAUUCUUACCAGUCUUAAGGGUCAUUUAGUCCCUCUCCUGUAAAGUGGAAGACCAUAUUCAAUUAUAAUUCUACCUUAAACUUCCAGAAGAGUCUCCUAGUACUGUCUCAGGGUUAAUAUUAGUCCCAGAAAUUCAGGUACAUCUGUUAAAUAGGGAUAACAUUCUAACCAGGAAGAGUAGGUUCAUGUUAUUCUUUCUAGAGAGAGUAUGAUAACACAGAUGUGCAUGACCAGCUUAAGUCAGACUGCAUGUAUAUACAUAUACAUAUUAACGUAAGCUGUAAUGUAUAUAGUGGUUUUUGAAGGUUUAAGGCUUCUCAGGCUAAAGCACCUAGGCUACCAGCUGCAAGUUUUGAAGCUCUGAUAAUCCUAACAAUUCUGGAUUUGCAAAUUAAACUAGUUGAGUUAUCCAAUUCAUUAGUAAAGCCCUCUACACUGAUUAGAUACUGUCAGUCCUAGUCAACCUUUUAGUUAUAUUUCUAAUUCAUAAGCUGUCAUCCAGUUUACUAAUCCUUAUUUAGUUUCUCAAGGAUAUGAAGUGCUUCCAAUACUACUACCCUGAUUCUAAUGAGAAAUAACUGAAGAUGGUAGGCUUCUGCAUCAUAGAUGCCAGUGCACCUCCUCCAAAAGCCUGAGAGCAAGACACCUGCAGUGUGAAUAUCAGUUGGUCCUCAUCUAUUGGCAGUAGCCAAGUUAGUUCAAGAAACAUUUAGAAAGCUCUCCUUUUUGUUUAAUUUAGCAGUACAUCCUCCUCAUCUCUUCAUCCUUCCCUGUUGUGAUCUCUAAGCCACAAAUCAGUACACAAGCAGUCAUACAUUUCAGUGAAGGCAGAACAAAAUUGAACAAGUACCUCAUCAGAGUUGUUUUUAAGCCUGACAAAAUUCCCAUCUGCAUCAAUUUCUUCAAUAGACACUUUUCCAGAAGAUGAAGCAUGCUGAACAGUCUUAAAUCCAGCACUAUGCUCUCUCUUUUUGGCUUUCAUUUUCCUUUUUCUCCCGUGCAGAAACCGUCGCCCUUCACUUGUUGCUUGAGUUGCAAUGCUAUGUGAAGAUGCACUAGGUGAUAUAUUCAACCUGGGAAGGAGUGAAAUAACAUUCACUUGAAUGUCUACAAUGCUUUUUUCUUCUCACUGCUAUCAGGAUAGCCAAGCCUAACAGCUUCUUACCUUGAAGCUUUCCAUGAAGCCUUGAACAUAAGACUUCAUUUUGUCUGGCAAGAAUAGCUCAGUAAGUAGCUUGUUAGGUUUGGAACACAACCCCAGACCUAAAGUUCAGAGCAAGCUUAUACUGCAAUUGGAAAUUUCCUAUCAGUAAGUAUUUAUUUCAAUUCUUUACUUACACACAUGUACUCUUUAAUAGAAGUUAUUUAAAUUCUUGACCCUUAGCAUUAACUCAGUUCAUGUUGUUCACUAAGGAGCAUCUGAAUAAAUAAGAGCUAGUACAGUUAUCACCUCCUUUCAUUCAUGCAGACAGCCCCAAAUAUGUAAGUUCUGAUUGUUAAACGGAUUUCUGAGCUAGCUAGGUAUAGAAUAAAGCCCACACAGAAUGACUAUACCCUUAUAUGCUAUAUGCCCUUAUGUUUUUGUGUAAUUACUCCAUCUCAAAGUGACACCAGAACUUAAUACCAAUGGAUAAGGAGGAAAAAGAUGGCUGUUUUAGAUUUCAGUGUGUCUUUGAUACAGCUCUAGGUUUUAGUACAAAACUUUGAAAGCAAUCAUUUCUAGGGAGGGAUGUCUAAUGGAUUUGAACCUUCAGUUUUGUUCACCAAGUUAUUUUAUCUUCAUACAUAAUGUGAUGGAUGUGGGAUAUAAAUACUAUUUCUCUACAGAAGAUUAUACUUAAACUAAAUGGUGAUCCUAAUUGCAAACAGUAUUUGUUUCUUGCAUCUACCACAUAUUUGAAGAGAUAGAGACCAUGGAUGGGGGAAGUCCUCACAUGAAGAUCUUGUCAUAACCUACCUCUGUUCCUCUCCUUCCAGCAUCUUUCUGUAGGCAUUUAUUUCCAGAUCUAGUGCCAGUUUCACAUCUAAGAGAUGCUCAUAUUCUUCCAACUGUUCUUGAACCUUUUUCUGGGUUUGUGCCAUUUCUUUCUCUUUUUCAGCCAUACGCCUUCGAUGUAGAUCACGAUCUUUAUCCAGCAUCUCCUGUAGCUCCUUUACUUUGUUUUCCAAAGCAGCAUUCUAAAAUUGAGAGAAAAAAAUAAAAGAAUAAAUCAAUUACACUGAGUAUUAGAGAGGAAAUACUUUGAAUUGGGUAUUUAAUACUAAGAAUAUACAAAAAGAUAGUACCUGGCUUUGAUAGUGAUUAAUUUCAGAUGUCAGAUUACCAACUCUAAGCUUUGUUUCCAUUAACUCCUCUCGAGCAGCAUUGGCAAAGUCACUAUUUCUUGCAGCAGAAAGCUGGGCAUUCUCCACCUAUGGGUAAAGUCACUGUUAGUAACAAGUUGCUUGUGACAAUCUAUUUUAAAUAAAGGGGGGAAAGAAAAGUGAUUUCCAGCUGUUACAUGUGGAAACAGCUAUGUAUUACUUAAGUAUGCAGAUGCCAAUAAGAUCCAAAUAAAGAAGUUAUUUAUUGCUUUUCAAGGAGGUUUAUGAGUUCAAUAUUCACAUCAGAAAAAAAAGAAAGAACACUACUCAGGUAGUGAGAAGUGUUGGAUUAGGAUGUUCCAGUUACAAAACCAAAGAGACUUACUAUAGAUAUGAAGUCAAUGGAUUCUCCAGAAGAACAACGAAGAGUGUUUGGAAAUUGCUUGUCAAAGCAUAAGGCUAGAGGAUACUAAGUACACUUAAAAAGCUUUUGUUCUUCCCCAAAAGUUGUGUAACUAAACAGUUCCUGCUUCACUCUAAGCAGCACUAAGCUAUUUCUAGAGCAAGUCAAUCAUGAUAUUUUCCAGGAAUGGAAAACCAUGCACUGAGAUAAAGUAUAGUCAUGUUACUAUAAGAGACACUCCAGAUCACCAGUGAAGAGUUGGACAGAAGCAUCCAAACAAAUUCAGUAGGCUGUUAUACAAAGAAAUUUGUAGUAUGGAGAAACCCAGAAGAACCAUUAAGUGAAAAAUACAUCACUUAAGAGUAGUAGAUCAUGCUGUUCUGCACUAUUAGCACAUCAACACUAUGCUGCACUCAACCCAGGAGACCCUGGGACCUUUCCUACAACACUAUAAAUAGGUAGUAUUACUUCUACCUGAAUACGAGGCUUAUGCUAGGAAAAAAGAUCACAGACCAUUUCUGGAAGACAAGCUGUCAAGCUACUUUCGUAGCCAUCCUCCCUAUCUUAUACAGUGUUACAGCUUAAGAGAGACAUUUGUACUUCAGAAAUAGGCUUAUAGAACUGCAACAACACUGUUUCAUGUAUUUCACUAGCAUUAUUGUUACUGAAAUCUUAUUCAACAAAACAGAAUAUUCUUCAUAUAAAAAUAGAAUACCUUGGUCCUGAAUUAGUCAGAUACUUAUUUGUUAGUAGACUGAAUUAUCAUCAGUUUUAUUACAUUAGCCAUGCCUAGUUACUUGCCAAAGAACAGUAUUUAUACUCGAACCAAUUUUGUUUGGAGCUAAGUGUUUGACAACAGAACUUACUGCUACCAACUUGACACUGUUUUGAAAUCCCAUAACUGCCAUUAAUUACCCUUCAUACUUAUGCCUAGAGGCUCUGCAGUGAAUGCAAGGGCUCCAUCAGUCACUUACUCUAGCGUGCCAUAAAUCAUAUAAAGGUGCAGAGAACUGUUAUAUUGGCACCUUUCACAGACUCACUUUUGCACUGAAUGUUCUCUCCAGUUCCUCUUUGUAUCCUUGAAUUUGUUCUUCAUGCUGUUUUCUGAGCCCCUGCAGAGCAUCUGAGAGCUUAGUCUCGAAUUCUCUCCGACGACCAGACUCCAUUUCUGCUAUUCUGCUCUCAUGGACUCUUUUUAUCUCCUUGAGCUCCUAGGAGAGAAAGUUUCUGAGAAUAAGCAAGCCAAAACAGUUUGAUUUGAGACUGUGGACAUACUGUACCAGCUUAGCAAGUAAUUCAGUACCAUAGCAGAUUUGCCAAUGAGUGUGGCAGUUCCUCAAUUUGCAGCUUACAUGUCCUUCCAUUACAUCAGGUACUCACACCUCAGUGGCUGCGCUGGAUUUUUCUUCUUCUUCACUGCUGACACUGCUUAAACUACUAAGCAAAGUACGUUGCAUCAAAUUUGAAAAUUAAUUAUUUGAUCUAUAUUAAUUUCUCUGCUUUUCUUUAGAUGCAUGUGCACUUCAGUUUCUUUAAGAAUUGUUACCUAUCUUUGUUUUAUUAAAAAAAACUAACAGCAACUGGGCUAGAGAAAUUAGAGUUUUAUCACUGAAAUCACACACAGAUUCCUUCCAGAAGGAAUUUGGUUUGCAUUCACUUCUAAGUUCCAUAUUACAUACUGACUCCUAAUGCAACACUUAUCAGUGGUGUUUGGUAAACUUUAAGGAAGAUGGGAACAUGAGUUGCUUAUUGUAGCAAUCAGGCAGAUCAGUACAACAGGAAAGGCAUGACAACAGAGGUGUGAUGAUGGAAGGACCAGCACGAUAGAAAGGUGCUAUGAAACAAGGGAAGAAAAUUGCUCACCAACUAAGUUUGCAGGGGAAAGCUUCACCAAGGAGGGAUCUCCAGAAAGAGAUCCUUCCCCAGUGGCAGUCAGCCCUUAAAUGAGAUCUAAGAAAGGUGCAGCCAAGCUCCAUCCCUUCCAGUCACAUAGCUGAAUUGCCUUAACUUGCACUAUCAGGGCUGACCAGGUCUUUUUCCCCAGAUGCUCAAUCAAUGGUUCAGGCCAUGACUGAACCGUUCCCAUACACAUUAAAAAGUGUUAACUUCACUAAUUUUAGGCUUCUUGCAGGCACCUGGAAUCAUUUAACUUCAACUGUAGUCUAUGCACUUUCAGUUACACGAAUUAGUACACUGUGAUUGUAGUUACCUUCAGAAGUGCAGCCUGAGAAAGUUCUCAUAUUCCAGAUAGCUAUUGGUACUAUGCCAGUUAACAUGAGGUUGUAUACUGUCUUGAAGUCUUCCUACUUAGGUAGAUUUUAUUGACUGAUGGACUGCCAUAAGUUGACUCAGCUAAGUUAUCUUUCUAAGGAUAUGGCACAACUUAACAUUGCUUUUAAGGACAUCCAGGGGUCAUGGACACCUAAAAAAACCCUUGUUAAUAAGCUAAAACAUACAUCUUCAUGAAGACACUUCUGGAAUGUCAUUUUUUCUUGCAAAGUUUUCAAAUUAUUUUCCAGGUCCACCCUUCUCAACAUUUCACUGUGGAGAUGCUUUUUGGCAUCUUCCAGUGACAGCUCCAGCUAGAAGAGAAAGACAUAAAGGUAGUCAAAAUUAAGCGGUUACUCUUCUAAACUAAGACAGCCAACUUAUUACAGGUUAUUCAAUUUAAUUCCUACAGCAAUCAAAACACAUUGCUCAAGUGAAAUUGACUAUUCUACCAUUCAAGGCCUAUAUCUGUGGGAUCCAGCAUGUUUCCAAUGAAAUGCUAUUAGUUGUUAUGUAGGCCAGAUCUCCUGCAGAUGCAGCUCUUCAUUGCACCAGUUAAGUUUUAUUUCAAAUGCAAAAAAGUGCUUCUGAUGAAUAAGUUGUACCAUCUGCAAGUAUUCUUCCCUUUCACGUUACUAAGUUUUCCCAACUUCUUCCUUACUUCCCAUAUAAUUUGUAUUGAUUCUUAAUAUGAAAAUACUCCAAGUAUAAAUAUUUUCUCAAACUACUGGACAAAAGAUUCUUUUAUUUUCAUUGUGAGAUCCUGAAGUAGCUUAAUUAGUGAUCAUAUUAAAGCAUGAAGAUACUGUGUUGGAAAAUACCAAUAGAGUAGCAACUUAAACAGCACGAGAGUUCAAAGAAACAGUCAGAAGUUGUAUUUUUUUCUACAGAGAUUUAAGCAUAAUAAAGCAGGGUCCAUCAAAUCCUCCCCUUACUACAGGGCCUAUAGCAGUUUAUGUUUCAUCACCAUUUGUCAGUAGGUGUAAAUUCAUUAGCUACUACAGUCAUGGAAUAGAUUUAAAGGUACUUACAACAGCUGGAAGUUUUAAUGGACCAACUAUUAGCAGCAUUUGCUUUCAGCAAGAGUGGAGAAAUCUUUCUGUCCACCUGCAACUGUCACAGAUAAUAGCCUUUGCCCGAUUUUACUUUUAAAUCUCUAACUAGCUUGGAAUAAGACAAGCAAAAGCUUCAGGAGCAAAAGCAAAGGUGAAAUUCCAGGAACAAGCCUUACAGUGACUACUUGAUCCUUUAACUCACGGAGGCCAUUCUCCAAAGUCCGGUUCUCGCUCAAAGCUGUUGCCAGGUCAGCUUCCUUUGCAUUCAGCUGAGCAUCAAGGUCUCUCAUACGAGCCUGUGCCAAGUUCAAGUCAGCUUCUUUUUUUGAAUUCCUGAAAGUGAAAGUUUUACAUUCAUAAGUUGCAGCUGGUGAGGGAGAAUAUUUGCUUUCAGCGUGUUUACCUUUAAGGGGGGUAUGUGGUUGAACUGAAUCAAAGAAAAGGUUGAGACUUGUGGUGAGAGCCCAGGGCAGGCUCUAAGAAACAAACCAGACAGUCUCAGACAAGUAUCAUUUGUUUAACCAGAAAGAUUUCUGAUCCGUUUUCC
rnacentral:lncRNA from 1 species